rnacentral:rRNA from 1 species
AACGAACGCUGGCGGCAGGCUUAACACAUGCAAGUCGAACGCAUCGCAAGAUGAGUGGCAGACGGGUGAGUAACGCGUGGGAACAUACCCUUUUCUACGGAAUAGCUCUGGGAAACUGGAAUUAAUACCGUAUACGCCCUACGGGGGAAAGAUUUAUCGGGGAAGGAUUGGCCCGCGUUGGAUUAGCUAGUUGGUGGGGUAAAGGCCUACCAAGGCGACGAUCCAUAGCUGGUCCGAGAGGAUGACCAGCCACAUUGGGACUGAGACACGGCCCAAACUCCUACGGGAGGCAGCAGUGGGGAAUAUUGGACAAUGGGCGCAAGCCUGAUCCAGCCAUGCCGCGUGAGUGAUGAAGGCCUUAGGGUUGUAAAGCUCUUUCACCGAUGAAGAUAAUGACGGUAGUCUGAGAAGAAGCCCCGGCUAACUUCGUGCCAGCAGCCGCGGUAAAAC